UUCCUACGGGACGCAGCAGUGGGGAAUAUUGCACAAUGGGGGAAACCCUGAUGCAGCGACGCCGCGUGAGUGAAGAAGUAUCUCGGUACGUAAAGCUCUAUCAGCAGGGAAGAAAAAAAGUCUUUGGCUUUGGACGGUACCUGACUAAGAAGCCCCGGCUAACUACGUGCCAGCAGCCGCGGUAAUACGUAGGGGGCAAGCGUUAUCCGGAAUCACUGGGUGUAAAGGGAGCGUAGACGGCUGUGCAAGCCUGAAGUGAAAGGCGGGGGCCCAACCCCUGGACUGCUUUGGGAACUGUACGGCUG
rnacentral:rRNA from 1 species